rnacentral:misc_RNA from 1 species
AUCGGGUAUUGCCGAUCGCCCGGAUCUCGAGGGAUGGCAGAUAAUCCCGCAGACGCUUGGCGUCCCGUUCCCAGCGCCCGUCGCGCUGAUCGCCGUCGAAGCCGAACACAAUCAGCCGGGGAUCAGGAUCGAUCUCGGCUUGGACCUGACCCGAGGCGAUGGCUGCGACGAGGGGAUCAGGCGCUUGUAGCGGUCUAGUUACCGGGGCGGCUGUACGUACUGCCGUUCGCAUAGUGUGGAGACGGACCAGCGCCUGGCAGA